GGGGAUUUAGCUCAGUGGUAUAAGUGCCUGCGUUGCAAGCAGGCAGUCAUGAGUUCAAUCCCCA
rnacentral:tRNA from 1 species